UACGUAGGGACCAAGCGUUGUUCGGAUUUACUGGGCGUAAAGGGAGCGUAGGCGGCAAUUCAAGUCAGUUGUGAAAUCUCCGAGCUUAACUCGGAACGGUCAACUGAUACUGCUUUGCUAGAGUACAGAAGGGGCAAUCGGAAUUCUUGGUGUAGCGGUGAAAUGCGUAGAUAUCAAGAGGAACACCUGAGGUGAAGACGGGUUGCUGGGCUGAUACUGACGCUGAGGAGCGAAAGCGUGGGGAGCGAACAGG
rnacentral:rRNA from 1 species